rnacentral:misc_RNA from 1 species
AGCUAUGAUCUUGCAAGCGCAUUUGGCAUGCGCUUGAUUGUACGGUCAAGUCUGCCGGGCCUUCUUGGUCCACGCCAAGCGCCGUUUCUAUGCAUAUCCGCUGGAGACGGCCAUGACGAAACAUGUGGACUUUGCUUGCCGAUGGCUAGACCAGAGCUGCAAAUAACCACUCGAAGAUCCGCAGCUGCGCGGUUGUCGCUUGUCGAGAGUCUUCGAGACUCUCCAACGACGACCCGCGGCUGUAGUCUUCUCCUAGGACCACGAUUGCGCGCCGCCUUCCAAGUUCGCUUGGUGAAGUGCGGCCGCAAGAGUGCGCUCCAGAGCAACGCAAGACCGGCGUACAAGGACGGGCGGCUUGACGACUCGCGAAGAGCGCAGCAGCGAUGCAGGCUUUCGAGCCUUUCCGUUGUGGCAGACUCUCGCGUGUACGCGUCGCCCUCUUUUUAUCCAAUCUUCUUGGAUAGCUACUCGAGAAACACCGUUGGGGCCCUCUUCGAUGCUUUGCGCUCGUCGAGGGCUCUGAUGCCUUGUCCUUUGGGAUGAGGCGGCUCGAAUAGUUACCUGGUUGAUUCUGCCAGU